AGAGUUUGAUCCUGGCUCAGGACGAACGCUGGCGGCGUGCCUAAUACAUGCAAGUAGAACGCUGAAGAGAGGAGCUUGCUCUUCUUGGAUGAGUUGCGAACGGGUGAGUAACGCGUAGGUAACCUGCCUUGUAGCGGGGGAUAACUAUUGGAAACGAUAGCUAAUACCGCAUAACAAUGGAUGACACAUGUCAUUUAUUUGAAAGGGGCAAUUGCUCCACUACAAGAUGGACCUGCGUUGUAUUAGCUAGUAGGUGAGGUAAUGGCUCACCUAGGCGACGAUACAUAGCCGACCUGAGAGGGUGAUCGGCCACACUGGGACUGAGACACGGCCCAAACUCCUACGGGAGGCAGCAGUAGGGAAUCUUCCACAAUGGACGCAAGUCUGAUGGAGCAACGCCGCGUGAGUGAAGAAGGUUUUCGGAUCGUAAAGCUCUGUUGUUGGUGAAGAAGGAUAGAGGCAGUAACUGGUCUUUAUUUGACGGUAAUCAACCAGAAAGUCACGGCUAACUACGUGCCAGCAGCCGCGGUAAUACGUAGGUGGCAAGCGUUGUCCGGAUUUAUUGGGCGUAAAGCGAGCGCAGGCGGAAUGAUAAGUCUGAUGUGAAAGCCCACGGCUCAACCGUGGAACUGCAUCGGAAACUGUCAUUCUUGAGUGCAGAAGAGGAGAGUGGAAUUCCAUGUGUAGCGGUGGAAUGCGUAGAUAUAUGGAAGAACACCAGUGGCGAAGGCGGCUCUCUGGUCUGCAACUGACGCUGAGGCUCGAAAGCAUGGGUAGCGAACAGGAUUAGAUACCCUGGUAGUCCACGCCGUAAACGAUGAGUGCUAGGUGUUGGAUCCUUUCCGGGAUUCAGUGCCGCAGCUAACGCAUUAAGCACUCCGCCUGGGGAGUACGACCGCAAGGUUGAAACUCAAAGGAAUUGACGGGGGCCCGCACAAGCGGUGGAGCAUGUGGUUUAAUUCGAAGCAACGCGAAGAACCUUACCAGGUCUUGACAUCCCGAUGCUAUUUCUAGAGAUAGAAAGUUACUUCGGUACAUCGGUGACAGGUGGUGCAUGGUUGUCGUCAGCUCGUGUCGUGAGAUGUUGGGUUAAGUCCCGCAACGAGCGCAACCCUUGUCUUUAGUUGCCAUCAUUAAGUUGGGCACUCUAAAGAGACUGCCGGUGACAAACCGGAGGAAGGUGGGGAUGACGUCAAGUCAUCAUGCCCCUUAUGACCUGGGCUACACACGUGCUACAAUGGUUGGUACAACGAGUUGCGAGUCGGUGACGGCGAGCUAAUCUCUUAAAGCCAAUCUCAGUUCGGAUUGUAGGCUGCAACUCGCCUACAUGAAGUCGGAAUCGCUAGUAAUCGCGGAUCAGCACGCCGCGGUGAAUACGUUCCCGGGCCUUGUACACACCGCCCGUCACACCACGAGAGUUUGUAACACCCGAAGUCGGUGAGGUAACCUUUUGGAGCCAGCCGCCUAAGGUGGGACAGAUGAUUGGGGUGAAGUCGUAACAAGGUAGCCGUAUCGGAAGGUGCGGCUG
rnacentral:rRNA from 1 species